GCAUUGUGGUGGAAUGACUGACAAAUCACAAGUGGUUUAGUUGGGAGGGCUUUGAUCAUUCGAAAGUAACUAAACUAGCUCCAGAAUGCCAAGUAUUCGUGUAAAUUACGGUUACAUGUUCACUUUGCUCUUCUUGCAUAAGCACUCAUGAAAAUACGGUAUUCUGUCACUUGAAUUCCAUCCAUAUUCCAGACCUCUACUCAUGUCUGAGGUGAAUCAUAAAUUGUCUUAGUUUUAGGAUUCAAACUGUCUAACUUGUACUUGUGGUCCAUACAAGAAGCAAAUCCCUGUUUCCACUUUGCACACGGUGUUUCGUUUAAUCGAACUUUAUUUGCCUCACAGCCCCUUGUUUCCCUUACCAUUCAGUGAGAAUUCUUUUCCUUUCUUAAAGUCUAGUCUUGUUGUUUGACUGAACAGAGGUUAUCAACCAACACAUCCAGUCCCGACAUGAAGCUUUCAGUCCCAUGAUGUGUCUCAGUUCCCUGCUGUGGGAAGGAAUGCAAGUGCUGAAGAAAUGGUUGGAGGGCUGGCAGCUAGAGUUGCAGGGAAAGCUCCUUCUUCCUGUGAGCCUGUGAGCUUUUACUUCCUCAACACAAAGACAGCUUGAGUAAACUCUUUUUUAAAAAGAUUCUUUUCACUCUUUUUUUUUUUUUAGAUGCCUUGCAAAAAUAAAAAUCGUGUAAAAGACCACUAAUAUGAACCCACCCCUCCUCAUUUAAAAAAAAAUGUUCUGUUUUGCUUUGUUUGGAUUUAGGAUCUCUCUUCUGUCUGACUCUUACAUUCAUAUUCGCAGAGUUGGUAGACUUGAGAGUCAUUUCAAGCAUGGGAACUUGAUGUCACCUUCCUUUAUUCGACCUGGGAGGGCAGCAGAGUAGUGAUGAAACUCCGCAUUUUGGUGUGAAAAACCUGGUUUGCUUAAGAAUAGAAGUAACUUCUGUGUAUGGAGGCAACGAGUUAAAAGAAAAAUUAACAGCUUGAUUUGAGUAGCCAACAGGAAAGGCUCCUUUCACGUUUACAUUAAAACUAUUCUGUAGUCACUGAUGUACCAUCAUUUAAAUUCUGUUCUCAAAGGUGUAGAUGAUAAAGCAGUGCCAUUCGUUGCUGUGGCCUAUUCGCAAAUGCACGGACAAUGUUCCCCCUCUUUUUAAAAAUACUGCUUGUAUCUGGGAUGCAAGCUAUACUUAACCUUUUUAAAUACAUUUUUAAAGUAUUUAUUAAUGAACCAAAGGAAAUCAGAUGCUUUCUGUAAGCAUCAGAAUAUAGAAUACAUAGUGAUUUGACUAUGAAUUUUAAAUCCACAUUUUAAUAUUAGUGGGGUAUUGCAAAGACAUUCCUUCUAAAGUUUUAAUAUUCCUUUUAUUAAGGGUCUCAGGGAGGGUAAAUUAGUCAGCCAUAUUUAUUUUCCAGAGAUGUAAGGAAUUGCUAAGCAGCUACUCAGAGGCUGCUAAUUCAUUGCCAAUGUCUCGGUUUUUCAGUUCUGCCUCCGUGAUAAAUUUAAGGAUAAAGAAUAGGGAGGGGUGAAGGAAGGGAGGGCUGCUUUAGAACAGGUG
rnacentral:lncRNA from 1 species